AACGUAGGUGGCGAGCGUUAUCCGGAAUACUGGGCGUAAAGCGUGCGCAGGCGGUUGUGCAAGACAGAUGUGAAAUCCCCGGGCUCAACCUGGGAAUUGCAUUUGUGACUGCACGGCUAGAGUGUGUCAGAGGGGGUAGAAUUCCACGUGUGAGCAGUGAAAUGCGUAGAGAUGUGGAGGAAUACCGAUGGCGAAGGCAGCCCCCUGGGAUAACACUGACGCCUCAUG
rnacentral:rRNA from 1 species